AUGGGGCUCGAACCAGCAAACUGUGGGGUCACGACCUGAGCUGAAAUCAAGAGUUGGAUGCUUAACCAAUUGAGCUGGUUAUUUUGCUGUUUACCUUGUCUCCAAAGUGAAAGUCUUAAGGAACAAUUUCAAGACACACAGUUUUUAAAAGGAUGGGAAGGAGGCUCAGACCAGUGUGCAGUCAGAGGAGUCUGGGGAAGAAGAAAUCGCCCAUAGUGUCAUAUGCUACAGAGGGUGCCAGGACAGGAAUCAUGCGUUCCAAAGAGAAGAAAAGUAUCCCAUUUAAUUUAUUUUUUGGCCACACACCUAAUUGAGGAGAGUUGCAGUCCUUUUUCUUAAUGUCCUCCUAUGAUCUGGGUCCACUAGCAUUUGUGGAACCACUUCGAAAAGACAUUAACUCCGAGAGACACAACAGCUACAGUUUAAAUACGCGAGCAGAUCCACCGAAAAAUUCUCAUUCAUAAAAUAAAUGGUGCUGUGUAACAAGUUCAUGUGACUGUGGAAAUUUGAAAAAUGUGUUAUUGCUUGGGUCAUUUCAAAAACCAUGAUUUGAAAAAAUAUGGUGUGAGUUGUAAUUCUUUCUA